rnacentral:rRNA from 1 species
AUGGGGAAGCUGGCGAGGCUCGUGGACGGCAUCAAGACGAGGCUGAUCAAGAAGAAGGGGGAGGAUCAGGAGGAGGCGUCGGCGGCGUACUACGACAAGGUGGGCAAGACGGAGAGCAUGAGGGUGGAGAUCAGGAGCCGCCGCGCGCAGGAGCUCAUCGCCAAGAACCUCGCCGCCGCCGACUCCAUCGGCCACGGCGGCGCCAAGAAGGCCAAGAAGCGCUUCUUCGCCUUCUGA